GAGGGCCUGGUGGAGCCCUCGGAGCCCGCGUCGAGGGCGCGGGACCAAGCAUGCCUGCCUCGCCGAGGCGCCCGGCUGGGGGCGUCCAUGGCCCUGGUCCUCCGGCCCGCGGGUCCGGGCCGAGGGCGCCGCACGGAGAUGGCUCCCGGCUCCUCUCUCCUCCCCUCAGCCCCUCCGCACUACCCCUGGGUAAAGGCGGCCAAGCCGAGGAGCAGAGAGCAAUGGUUUGAGCUCCCACUCCAAGUGAUGAAUUCAUCUUAGUAGUUUUGGAACAGGCCUUCCUUAAUGAUUUGAACUUCAAGACUAAGGACAUUAAAAAGAGGGAACCUGCAUAGCUCACCUAGAGCCAACUUGACAGCAUAAUUUUUAGGAAUCAAGAAUUAACAUUGGGUUACUACUUAAGAUUAAGCCUUGAACGUCCACUUGGACAUGGCACACCAUGUACACACUUGAACAUGGAAGUGAUCUUCCACCAAGGAGAUCUCUCUCUUCAGCUAAAUCAACAGAAGUGGUUCCAAGAAGAGAUCCCCUAUCUGACCAAACUCAGCCAGACAAAUUAAGUCAGUCUUUUUGAGCAAGGAAUAAGGCUGUACAAGGGUGGCCUGACCACCCCUUUCUGCUUGCAUCACCACUGAGCAGCCCCCUCUAGGAUGGCCACCUACCUGCAGGUUGUGCCCUGUAUAAGGGCACCUGGCUGGGACAGCCAACGAGUGCUGAAACCUUGCCAGGCUCCACCUACCAACCCGGCUUUACGGGUGUGUGGCAGUGUCUACUCAGACCAUGUGGAUCUUUUUCUAACUUGUACCAAGGCACCCUGUAUGGAUGAGGGGCAGUUCUGACCAUCCCAGUACCAUAUCCCAGUUCUACCAAGGAUUCCUUACCUCGGAUGGAAUGAAGAUUCUCAUGAACAGAUUAGGUUUGUUGUAAAAGAGGAAAUGUUUGACCCACAUUGAAAUUAAUUUCAUACAUAAAGCUCAAAAUGUUACUAUGGAUAUGAAUUACGUUUGUAUGUGUGUAUAUGUAUAAUAGUUAUGUGGAUACACAUUUCUAUGUAUGAGAAAUUAGCACAACUUAAACUUAGUAAAUGUUGAAAAUAAAACUAUUUUGGGC